rnacentral:rRNA from 1 species
CCUACGGGCGGCAGCAGUGGGGAAUAUUGCACAAUGGGGGGAACCCUGAUGCAGCGACGCCGCGUGAGUGAAGAAGGAUUUCGGUAUGUAAAGCUCUAUCAGCAGGGAAGAAGAUGACGGUACCUGACGAAGAAGCCCCGGCUAACUACGUGCCAGCAGCCGCGGUAAUACGUAGGGGGCAAGCGUUAUCCGGAUUUACUGGGGGUAAAGGGAGCGUAGACGGCAGGGCAAGUCUGGAGUGAAAGCCCGGGGCUCAACCCCGGGACUGCUUUGGAAACUGCCAUGCUGGAGUGCUGGAGAGGUAAGCGGAAUUCCUAGUGUAGCGGUGAAAUGCGUAGAUAUUAGGAGGAACACCAGUGGCGAAGGCGGCUUACUGGACAGUAACUGACGUUGAGGCUCGAAAGCGUGGGGAGCAAACAGGAUUAGAUACCCCAGUAGUC